rnacentral:rRNA from 1 species
CAAUAGCGUAUAUUAAAGUUGUUGCAGUUAAAACGCUCGUAGUUGAUAUUCUGCUAGUGAGAACGAAGCUGCCUUAAAAAGUAGCAUUUGUUCUUAGUAGCAUCAUUCUGAAUCUACACUGCAAAGUGGAAAUUCAGAGCCGUUACCUUGAGAAAAUUAGAGUGUUUCAAGCAGGCGAAAUGCCUUGAAUACUCCAGCAUGGAAUAACAAGUAAGGACUUAGGUUCUUCUUGUUGGUUUAGGGACCUUAGUAAUGAUUAAGAGGAACAGUCGGGGGUAUUCGUACUUGGUAGUCAGAGGUGAAAUUCUUGGAUUUACCAAAGACGAACUACUGCGAAGGCAUUAUUUCCGACGACGCCGUCAUUGA